UGACAUUACUCGUAUAUUUGGAAGUACAGUUACUAAAAAAAUUAAAAGUGUGUUAACUUUUUCUACUAGUUGAAAAUUACUACCGCUAAUUAAAACGACUAAUUUCGAGGUUUUGAUGUGUCCAACUGCCAAAGCUACAUCGACGAUUUCUCGAACGUUCCAGACCAACUAGUGACCGAUUUGGGAGAAUGUAUUA